UCCUCGCCUUUUCUUUCUCUUCCUCACUCGCCACCUUCCUAUCAUUUCUGGAAGAAGCAUCGGAGGAGAAAAAUAACAAUGGCGGGAGCCGAGCAGCAGCUCCAUCCUUGAAGCCAUGAGGGACACGAAAUCUUCCCUGGUCUACUCUACGAAGCUCGACUCUAUAUCCAUGUUGCUGCUGCUGCUGCUGCUUAUCCCUUCCACCAUUAGAAGACACAAGACAAUC
rnacentral:lncRNA from 1 species